AUGUGUAUUCCGAAGGAAAAGGGGGGUAUGGGAUUCCGAGAUGUCCAGAGUUUUAACUUAGCCAUGCUGGCCAAGCAGUGUUGGAGGCUGAUUGAGCAUAAUGAGUCCCUGUGUGCAAGGGUAUUAAGAGCGAGAUACUAUCCCACUGGCGACAUAUUGAAUUGUGAACUGAAGAAGGGUUCCUCUUAUAUUUGGAGGAGCAUUUGGUCGGGCAUACAAACAUUCAAAGAAGGAUGUAUUUGGAGGGUUGGCGAUGGUGCAAAAAUUAAUAUCUGGAGUGACUGUUGGAUCCCCAACAGUUUUUCAAGGAAAGUGGUCACUGUCCGGGGUAACCAAAUGCUCACAAAAGUAAUCGAAUUCAUAGACCCGAUUACAGGUGAAUGGGAUGAGCAACUGAUCCGUGAAAUUUUUUGGCAUACCGAUGCAGAACGCAUCCUACAGAUCCCCUUGCACCAACAAGUAACAGAAGAUUAUGUUGCUUGGCAUCUGACUACGAGCGGAAUUUUUUCAGUCAGAUCAGCUUACUAUAAACAAUGGGAGGUUUCAUAUGUAGGCGAGGCAAAUGAAGCAAACUUGUUUCGUGGGACAGCGCCACACCCAGUAUGGAAGAAAUUAUGGAGUUUGAAAGUUCCUGGGAAAGUGAAGAUCUUUUGGAGAUGCUUACAUAAUGCAAUUCCGUGUUUCGGUGUCCUAGCAAACAGGCACAUCGGCCACGUCUCUCAGUGCCCAAUAUGUCGUUUGGCUGCUGAAGAUAUUAAGCACGCCAUCUUUAGUUGUGAGCGAGCCAAAGCAGUUUGGUCGUCUUUGGGGAUUUGGAAUACUAUAUCUAAUGCUCUA
rnacentral:rRNA from 1 species